rnacentral:lncRNA from 1 species
AUGGGGCCAAGCUUACUUUGGACCUGCCUAGUAUUUGGAAGCUCUCCAUCCAAAGACCUAAUAUCCAAAACAGGAAGCAGCUUUGACAGGCACAUGCAAUACUACAGACGAACACAAAACAACAUCAUAAACAUUGGCUUUGGACCAGCUUUGUAUGUGGUGGUAAAACAUUUGGUAUUCCACUUAAGAUUUCUACAAGGAAACAUCUGUGAGAUUGUGCCGCAGAUAACACGAAGCGUUUGAUCCAUCUUUGUUCAUCUAGAAAGGCACUGAGAAGGCUUCAUUCACUCGGGCCUGACUGUAAACUGAAAACGAGCCUCGUUGUUCCAGCACGGAAAGCCCACAUACUGUAUCUAAGCGUGCUCUGCCAAGAAGUGGUGCAGUGUCUAGGCAGACAAGCAUGGCAAGGCGAUCCUGUUGCAUCCCUGCCGGGCUGCUGAUCGCUCGCCACGCACUUUGAUAUCGGACACACUGCCCCCAGUCUUCCAGGGAAGCUCCAGUACUUUGUCCUCUCUUCAUCUGCAUAAAGACAUCUGCAGUGAAGGACUCUCAUCAGCUGUUUCUUGUAAGGCUUUCACCGUGGUGUAUCUACAAAACACAUUGAUUGUCUUUGUGCCAGGGGUUUUUUGGAGAGCCUGCGACAGAAAGCACAGGGGUCAGUCCCUGUUUAUGCUGGGGCAGUGUGUUUAUGCUAGUUGUUUGCACCAGUGCAAUUAUGGUAUCAACUAAAGCCUUAGUGUGCAGAUGGCCUCCAUCUCACUCUGUCAAAUCCAAUCACCCGGCCCUUCACCCUUUGCUGUAAAGCAGGCAAGAAGCCACAAUCCCACUGAACAGUGUGGACAGGUGUCUCCCAGCAGCAAAGCCCUGCUUUGAUGAGCACAGACAGCUCCUCUGAGGCAGCAGCCAGGAGAUGGUGUUCUGGCUAUUUCCAAACUGUGUAAGACAUGAGCACCCUAUUGGUUUGUUGAUAUUUGGACUGCUCUCCGCAGGAGAAACUUGACAGUGCUGGGUUAUUUUGUAAUUGAAAGCGAACAAAGUCAGAUGUUAGAGCAAACUGUCAGGAGAAAUGGGAGAGUCUCCCACUUUCUUCAAAGACUUUAUGCUGAAGAUAUAGUUUGGUUAAACAUAAGGUAAUGACUCAAGUAAACUAGAGUCAGUUUUUGAUUUUUUUUUCUAGAAAAUGAUGUGGUGAGAUAGGAUAAGCGGGGGGAAGGAGGGGGAGGACAGAACCACUAAACAUAUGUAAAAUUAGCCUAAAAAAUGUUAUGAGAAAAUAAAGAAAGAAGAGUCGGUGAUAGUAUCUGCUGU